rnacentral:tRNA from 1 species
GGUUUUAUAUUCAAUGUAUGAUUUUAAAUUGCAAAUUUAAAGUAGUAAAUAUUUUUACUAAAGCUU